GGAUAGCUCAGUUGGUUAGAGCAUGGUGCUUAUAAUGCCAAGGUGGCAGGUUCGAUUCCCGUAUGGGGCAACU
rnacentral:tRNA from 1 species